rnacentral:rRNA from 1 species
GACAGAGGUCCCGAGCGUUAGGCGGAAUCACUGGGCUUAAAGCGUGUGUAGGCGGAUCGUUAAGUGCCUUGUGAAAUCCCACGGCUUAACCGUGGAACUGCUUGGCAUACUGGCGGUCUUGAGCCACUUAGGGGCAACCGGAACAAAUGGUGGAGCGGUGAAAUGCGUAGAUAUCAUUUGGAACGCCAUGGUGAAAACAGGUUGCUGGGAGUGUGCUGACGCUGAGACACGAAAGCCAGGGGAGCGAACGGG